UACUUCCUGGGAAGAGGAAGGUUGGUUCUUUCUUAGAGCUGGCACACCCAGAGAGAGAAGGGGACUCAGAGUUGUAGGAAGCAGUCCAGUGAAGGAGCAGGGAGCGCAGAGAGAGGAAGCCCAGAACUGUGGAGCAGAGGGUUGGCUCAUGUUCCCCUAUGAGCCACUGAGGGCAUUGCACAGAGCUCAGGCAGCAAAUGGGAAGACUGCUGAUGGACUGUACCCUGGAAAGUGAGUGACCUGGCCAGAGGCAGUGGAGCUGCAGAUCAGAGUGACAGUGUGCAAACUGUGGUUGGGGUGUUGGCUUUGAGAGCUAAUCCCUAGAGUGACCAGGAGGAGGUGCCAGAUCAGUGAAAUGUCUACUAUUUCUAGUUUCAUUUUACAUGGACUUUGGCCUCCAACUAGUCAUGGAUGGGAAGACAAGAAGGAAAAAACAAGGGAUUAUUGCAAGGAGAUUGGAACACAGCAGAACUCUGUGCAGCCAUCGAUGCAGAACAGUAUCCUUGUAAGAAGCAUGCUUGAUGCCUCCACAACCAUAACAGCAUCUUUCGUUCUUAAUGAAUAAUAUGCUCCAGAUGUUCUGCCCUGUGAGAAUUUCUAG